GGUUAGUCGGGUCCUAAGCUGAGGCCGACAGGCGUAGGCGAUGGAUAACAGGUUGAUAUUCCUGUACCACCUAUAAUCGUUUUAAUCGAUGGGGGGACGCAGUAGGAUAGGCGAAGCGUGCGAUUGGAUUGCACGUCUAAGCAGUAAGGCUGAGUAUUAGGCAAAUCCGGUACUCGUUAAGGCUGAGCUGUGAUGGGGAGAAGACAUUGUGUCUUCGAGUCGUUGAUUUCACACUGCCGAGAAAAGCCUCUAGAUAGAAAAUAGGUGCCCGUACCGCAAACCGACACAGGUAGUCAAGAUGAGAAUUCUAAGGUGAGCGAGCGAACUCUCGUUAAGGAACUCGGCAAAAUGACCCCGUAACUUCGGGAGAAGGGGUGCUCUUUAGGGUUAACGCCCAGAAGAGCCGCAGUGAAUAGGCCCAAGCGACUGUUUAUCAAAAACACAGGUCUCUGCUAAACCGUAAGGUGAUGUAUAGGGGCUGACGCCUGCCCGGUGCUGGAAGGUUAAGAGGAGUGGUUAGCUUCUGCGAAGCUACGAAUCGAAGCCCCAGUAAACGGCGGCCGUAACUAUAACGGUCCUAAGGUAGCGAAAUUCCUUGUCGGGUAAGUUCCGACCCGCACGAAAGGCGUAACGAUUUGGGCACUGUCUCAACGAGAGACUCGGUGAAAUCAUAGUACCUGUGAAGAUGCAGGUUACCCGCGACAGGACGGAAAGACCCCGUGGAGCUUUACUGUAGCCUGAUAUUGAAAUUCGGCACAGCUUGUACAGGAUAGGUAGGAGCCUUUGAAACGUGAGCGCUAGCUUACGUGGAGGCGCUGGUGGGAUACUACCCUAGCUGUGUUGGCUUUCUAACCCGCACCACUUAUCGUGGUGGGAGACAGUGUCAGGCGGGCAGUUUGACUGGGGCGGUCGCCUCCUAAAAGGUAACGGAGGCGCUCAAAGGUUCCCUCAGAAUGGUUGGAAAUCAUUCAUAGAGUGUAAAGGCAUAAGGGAGCUUGACUGCGAGACCUACAAGUCGAGCAGGGUCGAAAGACGGACUUAGUGAUCCGGUGGUUCCGCAUGGAAGGGCCAUCGCUCAACGGAUAAAAGCUACCCCGGGGAUAACAGGCUUAUCUCCCCCAAGAGUUCACAUCGACGGGGAGGUUUGGCACCUCGAUGUCGGCUCAUCGCAUCCUGGGGCUGUAGUCGGUCCCAAGGGUUGGGCUGUUCGCCCAUUAAAGCGGUACGCGAGCUGGGUUCAGAACGUCGUGAGACAGUUCGGUCCCUAUCCGUCGUGGGCGUAGGAAAUUUGAGAGGAGCUGUCCUUAGUACGAGAGGACCGGGAUGGACAUACCUCUGGUGUACCAGUUGUCGUGCCAACGGCAUAGCUGGGUAGCUAUGUGUGGACGGGAUAAGUGCUGAAAGCAUCUAAGCAUGAAGCCCCCCUCAAGAUGAGAUUUCCCAACUUCGGUUAUAAGAUCCCUCAAAGAUGAUGAGGUUAAUAGGUUCGAGGUGGAAGCAUGGUGACAUGUGGAGCUGACGAAUACUAAUCGAUCGAAGACUUAAUCAA
rnacentral:rRNA from 1 species